rnacentral:rRNA from 1 species
AUUGAACGCUGGCGGCAUGCCUAACACAUGCAAGUCGAACGGCAGCACAGCAGUAGCAAUACGGUGGGUGGCGAGUGGCGGACGGGUGAGGAAUACAUAGGAAUCUGCCCAGUCGUGGGGGAUAACGUAGGGAAACUUACGCUAAUACCGCAUACGACGGUGACGUGAAAGUGGGGGACCGCAAGGCCUCACGCGAUUGGAUGAGCCUAUGUCCGAUUAGCUAGUUGGCGGGGUAAGAGCCCACCAAGGCGACGAUCGGUAGCUGGUCUGAGAGGAUGAUCAGCCACACUGGAACUGAGACACGGUCCAGACUCCUACGGGAGGCAGCAGUGGGGAAUAUUGGACAAUGGGCGCAAGCCUGAUCCAGCAAUGCCGUGUGGGUGAAGAAGGCCUUCGGGUUGUAAAGCCCUUUUGUACGGGAAGAAAAGCUUCGGAUUAAUACUUCGAGGUCAUGACGGUACCGUAAGAAUAAGCACCGGCUAACUUCGUGCCAGCAGCCGCCGUAACAC